UCGGCGGGCCAGCAGAGGCGAAGGAGCAGCCCCGUUUGGUGGCGCGCCCUGUCGCGGGAAACCUCUGCCCUCCGCGGUGCCGGUGCGAUCUUUUUUUUUUUCUGAGCCCCGAGUUAAAACCACGCGCGACGCGGUUCACGUGGGCGUUGGAAAUCACAGCCCAGCGCCCGCGUGUCUGUUGGAAAGGUAAAUCUUUAUUUCUUUUGUUUCUUCCAGGUUGAUUCCAGCAACGCGCUGUCUGAAAGAUGCUGCAAGGAGCUAAUAGUAACAAGUAGCUCUGUACCUUUCUGGACAGUCUGCUUUCUGGAUCCUUACGAGACCCCCGGUACUUGAUGACAAGGCUGGCUCUCUGUACGUUUAAACUAAAGAGGAAAGAAGCAGCUGGCUGCUUACUGGAUGCCAGGGAACACCCAGGAAAUGCUGUGCCAAUACUGGUGUCAACUGCUUUGAAGAACUCGGGGAAAGCCGGCCUCUUUUGAGGCCUUGUACAAAGGAGACUGACCUCCCAGGCAUAAACGCGGAAGAAUGGUCCAGAGUGGCUAAAUUUUUACAAACUAAGCAAGGCCUGAGAGCUGGCUUUCCCGUGUCUUGCCUUGCUGUUCAAACACAGUGCGAGGUGUGGAAGGGAGGCAGGGACACGAGACAUGAUCUAGCUAAAUCCCCCAGUGCAAAGAGCUGGAAUGAGAGCAGUGUACUCGACUUAGAUGACCAGGACCUGCUGGGAUGGAAGAGGAGACUGCAAGUGACAGAUAUGACAAGACAAAUGCAUCUCCAGUCUUUGACGCACAGUAGACGCUUCAAAGAGAACAACCCCAAACAAACAACAGAAAGCAACAAUGAAGUGACAACAGGAAAAACAGCACUAGGCACAAGCAGCAACUCUGGGGUCAGAAGGUGACAACACCAAACUGAUCGAAUAGCACGUGCUUCUGACAGAGGAACUAAAUACUGCAAGAAGGCUGCAUAUCUCCCAAUAGUGAAGAGCUUAGAUUUGCACUGGGCAGGUUUACCGCUAUAUUUUUGUUCCUGGACAUAGCCUCAAUCUUGCAUGUAAGGGAGUGGUGUAUGCCCAAGCCAUAUUUGAGACUACAUACAACGGGACACUCAUUUUAGCCUGCAGAGGAGGAGCGGGUGUGAUAGGAAUCAUCUACAGAAAUGCCAAUACAUGGCACCUUCUAUAGGACUUCAAGCUGUUGAGUGACAUCUGCAUCAAGACGGGUGUCACUCCAGCCUACCUGACAGCUGUACUUUUUGGGGGAGGCAUAUCAGUGGGAGCAUUCAGAGUUUCUCCAGGGUCAAAGAGACUGCAGUUUAGCAGAGCAUGUAACAAAGCAAAAAAUCAAGGAAUGAACAGCGUGGACAGACAAACGCUUUGCUACACACACAGAUGCUCACUCAACUUGCAGGUCACUGGGCCAGUUUCUCACAUGGUAGCCACUGGGCUACUGUCUUCCCCCUUUUCCCUCUCUUGCUCUUUUUUAAGGGAGGAAGGUAAAUCCCACCCUCUCCGUUUUCACAUUUUGGGCCAUGCUGCUGCCAUGAUAUUAAGAUCACAAACAAAACUUCACUUUCAUGCACAAGUGAAAAUGUCCAAUGAGAUAAGAAAUCACUCAAUAUCAUUUUAAAACUCGUGUGUUUGUGUGUGUGUGUGUAUAUACACGUACACACACACACACAUAUAUAUUUGCAGUAAAUACAUAUAAACCUUUACACAAUUAAAACCACUCCAGUAUCCACACGAUACACUUCUAUCACUCACCAAGACAAUACAUUGUUGCACUGACAGAAUCCAUUGCUCAGUUUCUUUUAAAAUUACAGUUUUCAAAAGUUAGAUCAAAUUGCUUAGUGAGAGGCCAAUCUUUGGCAAGCAUGAAUCUGCCGAAAACCACCAGCUCCAGCAGUGUUU